rnacentral:rRNA from 1 species
UGAGUGGCGGACGGGUGAGUAACGCGUGGGCAACCUGGCCUGUACAGGGGGAUAACACUUAGAAAUAGGUGCUAAUACCGCAUAACGGGAGAAGCCGCAUGGCUUUUUCCUGAAAACUCCGGUGGUGUAAGAUGGACCCGCGUCUGAUUAGCUUGUUGGCGGGGUAACGGCCCACCAAGGCGACGAUCAGUAGCCGGCCUGAGAGGGCGGACGGCCACAUUGGGACUGAGACACGGCCCAGACUCCUACGGGAGGCAGCAG